rnacentral:tRNA from 1 species
GCCGGUGUAGCUCAGUCGGUAGAGCAGCGCACUCGUAAUGCGCAGGUCGGCGGUUCAAGUCCGCCCGCCGGCUCCA